CUUUGCUGGCGACCGGCGCACGGAUGAGUAACACGUAUCCAACCUGCCCUUUACUCGGGGAUAGCCUUUCGAAAGAAAGAUUAAUACCCGAUAGCAUAAUGAUUCCGCAUGGUUUCAUUAUUAAAGGAUUCCGGUAAAGGAUGGGGAUGCGUUCCAUUAGGUUGUUGGUGAGGUAACGGCUCACCAAGCCUUCGAUGGAUAGGGGUUCUGAGAGGAAGGUCCCCCACAUUGGAACUGAGACACGGUCCAA
rnacentral:rRNA from 1 species